AGUGAACGCUGGCGGCAGGCCUAACACAUGCAAGUCGAACGGCAGCACGGCAGUAGCAAUACUGUGGGUGGCGAGUGGCGGACGGGUGAGGAAUACAUCGGGAUCUACCCUGUUGUGGGGGAUAACGUAGGGAAACUUACGCUAAUACCGCAUAAGAACUGAGGUUGAAAGCGGCGGACCGCAAGGCGUCGCGCGAUUGGAUGAACCGAUGUCCGAUUAGCUAGUUGGCGGGGUAAAGGCCCACCAAGGCGACGAUCGGUAGCUGGUCUGAGAGGACGACCAGCCACACUGGAACUGAGACACGGUCCAGACUCCUACGGGAGGCAGCAGUGGGGAAUAUUGGACAAUGGGCGCAAGCCUGAUCCAGCCAUGCCGCGUGGGUG
rnacentral:rRNA from 1 species